GGCUCAGGACGAACGCUGGCGGCGUGCCUAAUACAUGCAAGUCGAGCGGACAGAUGGGAGCUUGCUCCCUGAUGUUAGCGGCGGACGGGUGAGUAACACGUGGGUAACCUGCCUGUAAGACUGGGAUAACUCCGGGAAACCGGGGCUAAUACCGGAUGGUUGUUUGAACCGCAUGGUUCAAACAUAAAAGGUGGCUUCGGCUACCACUUACAGAUGGACCCGCGGCGCAUUAGCUAGUUGGUGAGGUAACGGCUCACCAAGGCGACGAUGCGUAGCCGACCUGAGAGGGUGAUCGGCCACACUGGGACUGAGACACGGCCCAGACUCCUACGGGAGGCAGCAGUAGGGAAUCUUCCGCAAUGGACGAAAGUCUGACGGAGCAACGCCGCGUGAGUGAUGAAGGUUUUCGGAUCGUAAAGCUCUGUUGUUAGGGAAGAACAAGUACCGUUCGA
rnacentral:rRNA from 1 species